rnacentral:rRNA from 1 species
GUUUCCGUAGGUGAACCUGCGGAGGGACAUCCUGAGUGAGGGCCUCGGGCUCGACCUCCAACCCUUUGUGAACACAACUUGUUGCUUCGGGGGCGACCCUGCCGUUUCGACGGCGAGCGCCCCCGGAGGCCUUCAAACCCUGCAUCUUUGCGUCGGAGUUUAAGUAAAUUAAACAAAACUUUCAACAACGGAUCUCUUGGUUCUGGCAUCGAUGAAGAACGCAGCGAAAUGCGAUAAGUAAUGUGAAUUGCAGAAUUCAGUGAAUCAUCGAAUCUUUGAACGCACAUUGCGCCCUUUGGUAUUCCGAAGGGCAUGCCUGUUCGAGCGUCAUUUCACCACUCAAGCCUCGCUUGGUAUUGGGCGCCGCGGUGUUUCCGCGCGCCUCAAAGUCUUCCGGCUGAGCUGUCCGUCUCUAAGCGUUGUGAUUUCAUUAAUCGCUUCGGAGCGCGGGCGGCCGCGGCCGUUAAAUCUUUCACAAAGGUUGACCUCGGAUCAGGUAGGGAUACCCGCUGAACUUAAGCAUAU